GUGAAUCAUCGAAUCUUUGAACGCACAUUGCACCCUCUGGUAUUCUGGAGGGUAUGCCUGUUUGAGUGUCAUUUACAUGCGUCAACACAGACCAAGUUCCACACACGGUGACUUGCUCUGCUGCUUUUGGAUGUUGAAGGCCUGCUGGCGAGCAAGUCAGCUCCUUUUAAAUUCAUUAGCGGGGACAAUUUGCACUUUAGCUGGUCUGCAGUUUGAUAAAUUGAACUGCUGUCCGGUGUGUACCGAGAAGUUCCUGCUUCCAACCGUCCAGUGGAUCUGGACUGGCUCACUCUUUUGAGU
rnacentral:misc_RNA from 1 species